rnacentral:rRNA from 1 species
CCUACGGGAGGCAGCAGUGGGGAAUUUUGGACAAUGGGCGCAAGCCUGAUCCAGCAAUGCCGCGUGAGUGAAGAAGGCCUUCGGGUUGUAAAGCUCUUUUGUCAGGGAAGAAACGGUGGAGGUUAAUACCUUCUGCUAAUGACGGUACCUGAAGAAUAAGCACCGGCUAACUACGUGCCAGCAGCCGCGGUAAUACGUAGGGUGCAAGCGUUAAUCGGAAUUACUGGGCGUAAAGCGUGCGCAGGCGGUUGUGCAAGACAGAUGUGAAAUCCCCGGGCUCAACCUGGGAAUUGCAUUUGUGACUGCACGGCUAGAGUGUGUCAGAGGGGGGUAGAAUUCCACGUGUAGCAGUGAAAUGCGUAGAGAUGUGGAGGAAUACCGAUGGCGAAGGCAGCCCCCUGGGAUAACACUGACGCUCAUGCACGAAAGCGUGGGGAGCAAACAGGAUUAGAUACCCUGGUAGUCCACGCCCUAAACGAUGUCUACUAGUUGUCGGGUCUUAAUUGACUUGGUAACGCAGCUAACGCGUGAAAGUAGACCGCCUGGGGAGUACGGUUGCAAAGAUUAAAACUUAAAGGAAUUGACGGNUUGAGACGNGCGAGACGACACGAGGAGAGG